rnacentral:rRNA from 1 species
GUAGGGAAUAUUGCCCAAUGGGCGAAAGCCUGAGGCAGCAACGCCGCGUGCGCGAUGAAGGCCUUCGGGUCGUAAAGCGCUUUUCGGGGAGAAGAGGAAGGACGGUAUCCCCGGAAUAAGGAUCGGCUAACUACGUGCCAGCAGCCGCGGUAAAACGUAGGAUCCGAGCGUUAUCCGAAUUCACUGGGCGUAAAGCGCGUGCAGGCGGAUUGGUAAGUUGGAUGUGAAAUCUCUUGGCUCAACUGGGAGAGGACGUUCAAUACUGACAGUCUAGAGGGCGACAGAGGGAGAUGGAAUUCCCGGUGUAGUGGUGAAAUGCGUAGAUAUCGGGAGGAACACCAGAAGCGAAGGCGGUCUCCUGGGUCGCAACUGACGCUCAGACGCGAAAGCUAGGGGAGCGAACGGGAUUAGAAACCCCUGUAGUCC